rnacentral:lncRNA from 1 species
AUGUCUCUAUCAAGUGUCCUUAGGAAAAAUAUUUCCUUCAAGACCACAAGAGCAGUGCAGCUGGACAAACUGGAGCUAGUCAAAAGCUGUCAGAGCCCUAUUUAUCGGGGAGAUACCUGCACCCAGCAGGCUGCUAGACAUGGAGCACUGAGGAGAGUGGCUGGAGCCCCUGAAGCAACCAGAACGUGGUGUCUGAGAGCAUUGGGAAGAGAGAAGCAGCUGACCUGGAAAGUCAGAAGGCAGAAAAAAAUGUCAGUCAGUGGGAAAUGAUUAACAGCUCGUCCAGUUUAUGCCAAGGACAGAGGGUUCUCUCAAGCAUUCUUGUGCAGUCCUGGCUGUCAGCUGAAACAUGCUGAAGAACAGGAGCAAUCCGGUGUAUGGGCCUGGUCCAAAACUAGCUUAGCUGAGCAAAAAGAUUCUGAAGGUUAGGAUUGGACCCCCAUUAAAGGGGCUUUGUGUUUCUGUGUUUUUCAGGGUUGAUCUUGUUAUUCCUGUUCUUCAUAAAAAAAAAAAUGAAAAGAAAAAAAUAAAAAAAGAAGCAUAUGCCA